rnacentral:rRNA from 1 species
UACGUAGGGACCAAGCGUUGUUCGGAUUUACUGGGCGUAAAGGGCGCGUAGGCGGCGCGGUAAGUCACUUGUGAAAUCUCUGAGCUUAACUCAGAACGGCCAAGUGAUACUGCAGUGCUAGAGUGCAGAAAGGGCAAUCGGAAUUCUUGGUGUAGCGGUGAAAUGCGUAGAUAUCAAGAGGAACACCUGAGGCGAAGGCGGGUUGCUAGGCUGACACUGACGCUGAGUGCGCGAAAGCCAGGGGAGCAAACGGG